UUUGACCGUUGUAGUUAUUAUUAACUAAUAAAUAUCGCUUAAUAAUAAUAAAAAUAUGACCGUUGUAAUGAUCUAGCCGUUGGCUCCUCCUCCUCUUCGUAACUUCUAUAUAAGAAGCGCUCUGUCGUGCCUUCCUUUCCUCAUCAUCUUUCAUUCAUUCCUCACAAACUCAUUCACAAAAAAGAAAAUCAAGAAUCUGUUGGAGAGCAAUUAUAGGCGACAAGAGCAAAUAUUCAUUGAUCAAGUCAAGAGAGUACGGUGGUUAUUGAAGACGAAUAAGGCUGCGAACACAAAAUCAAAAGAAUUGUCAGCAGAAUUAAGGGGUUAAUUCAGUUGUCACUGAUAGCGCUAAGAACUUGGUGAUAGUGAAAGAGGAUCAUUGGCGUGGCGUCAAACAACUCAUUCCUUAUCUCAAGCUUAAACGCACCAUCGAAGUCAGUGGCUGAGGUACGAAAUCCUUUCAUCAUUAGUCUAUUUGUAGUAUGAGUGUAGAUUUUUAUGGGCAACUUGUUUUGAAAUCGUUUUCUACACGGAUUUUAAACUGUUUUAUUGUCAAAACUUUUCUUUUUGGAGGGAGUUUUUUUUUUAAAUUACUUAAUUGGUAAUUGAAGCUUAUGUGUAAUACUCAUAGUGUGUCGAAACAGAUAGAAUGUGCGUCCUGUCAUUGAUUUGAUUGUUAGAGAUCGUAAUGUUUCAUUUGUUUCGCACAUUUGGGAUAACUAAGUUCCUCUUAAUCAGUUUAGUGAUUAAAAAAAUUUCCCGAUGGUGUUUUCAUGUUUUGUUAAAAGUUUAAAAGGAUUUUUUUUGUCAAAGUUUUUUAGAGGAAUUUUCUUAAUUACUUAAUUGAUCCGGACGAAUGAAUGGGGAAGAGAUAUUGAAGAAGAACUUUGGUAUGUAUGAUAUGGUUUUGCAGCCAAAACAACUUUUAACGAUAUGUAGAGUUAAGGUCAAGUUGCUUGAGUGUUCGAUUGUGGAAGUUUCCACUUUGUGUGGCUGAUGGCUCGGAAGAUCGAUAUUUAGCUAAGGGCAUCUCCAAUGCAACACUAAAAUUUACUC